rnacentral:rRNA from 1 species
AUUGAACGCUGGCGGCAGGCUUAACACAUGCAAGUCGAGCGGGGGAAGGUAGCUUGCUACCGGACCUAGCGGCGGACGGGUGAGUAAUGCUUAGGAAUCUGCCUAUUAGUGGGGGACAACAUCUCGAAAGGGAUGCUAAUACCGCAUACGUCCUACGGGAGAAAGCAGGGGAUCUUCGGACCUUGAGCUAAUAGAUGAGCCUAAGUCGGAUUAGCUAGUUGGUGGGGUAAAGGCCUACCAAGGCGACGAUCUGUAGCGGGGCUGAGAGGAUGGGCCGCCACACGGGGACUGAGACACGGCCCAGACUCCUACGGGAGGCAGCAGUGGGGAAUAUUGGACAAUGGGGGGAACCCUGAUCCAGCCAUGCCGCGUGUGUGAAGAAGGCCUUAUGGUUGUAAAGCACUUUAAGCGAGGAGGAGGCUCUUUUGGUUAAUACCCAAGAUGAGUGGACGUUACUCGCAGAAUAAGCACCGGCUAACUCUGUGCCAGCCGCCGCAGUAA